rnacentral:rRNA from 1 species
CCUACGGGAGGCAGCAGUGGGGAAUAUUGGACAAUGGGGGGAACCCUGAUCCAGCCAUGCCGCGUGUGUGAAGAAGGCCCUCGGGUUGUAAAGCACUUUCAGUGAGGAAGAACGCCUGGUGGUUAAUACCCAUCAGGAAAGACAUCACUCACAGAAGAAGCACCGGCUAACUCCGUGCCAGCAGCCGCGGUAAUACGGAGGGUGCGAGCGUUAAUCGGAAUUACUGGGCGUAAAGCGCGCGUAGGUGGCUUGAUAAGCCGGUUGUGAAAGCCCCGGGCUCAACCUGGGAACGGCAUCCGGAACUGUCAAGCUAGAGUGCAGGAGAGGAAGGUAGAAUUCCCGGUGUAGCGGUGAAAUGCGUAGAGAUCGGGAGGAAUACCAGUGGCGAAGGCGGCCUUCUGGACUGACACUGACACUGAGGUGCGAAGGCGUGGGUAGCAAACAGGAUUAGAUACCCGAGUAGUC